GGGGCUGAUUCUGGAUUCGACGGGAUUCGCGAAACCCAAGGUGCAUGCCGAGGGGCGGUUGGCCUCGUAAAAAGCCGCAAAAAAAUAGUCGCAAACGACGAAAACUACGCUUUAGCAGCUUAAUAACCUGCUUAGAGCCCUCUCUCCCUAGCCUUCGCUCUUAGGACGGGGAUCAAGAGAGGUCAAACCCAAAAGAGAUCGCGUGGAUGCCCUGCCUGGGGUUGAAGCGUUAAAACUAAUCAGGCUAGUCUGGUAGUGGCGUGUCCGUCCGCAGCUGCCAGGCGAAUGUAAAGACUGGACUAAGCAUGUAGUACCGAGGAUGUAGGAAUUUCGGACGCGGGUUCAACUCCCGCCAGCUCCACCA
rnacentral:tmRNA from 1 species